UAACAACACACAACAUUCCAGGAAUGUACUACCAAAGUUCUAUCAAUAUUUGAAUGUCCUGGACAUUUAGGGAACAUUCGGUGAACAUCUGUUUAAAUUAUUCCUGGAAUGUUACCAUAAGACAUUCUGUGAACAUACUACCAAUGUUCCUAUAUUUUAAGUUGCGAAAUAAUACAUACGUGUAACAGAUUCAGAUACAACAUUACUUAUAACAUACCAGACAAACUAAGUGACAUUUUAGGCCUACAGUGUCAAAUUUAAAGAGUUUCCCAAGUUCAAUUAAUACAAUAUUAUAAACAUACAAAUGUAAUAAAAAUUAUUGUUCGCGAAUAUUCAAUUUGGAAUGCGAUUUUGUUAAUAAAAAAAUACUUAUAACUUAUGCAAAACCCAAGAGAGGCAUUAUUUAUAUUUAUUUCUUUUGCGUUCAUUUUCAAAUUCGCCGUGCAUAUAUUUUUGUGCAUGGCGCUUGAGAGGGCAUCACGUGACUAAAAACGACCAACCAACGACCUCGCUUCGGCCAUCUUGGCAUCUUCAUUUUCAUUUCAUCUUGGCCACCUUGCCCGGCCUUGCCUUGCCGUGGAUAGUUUGUAUUAUUUGUGCUUUUUAAGAAUAUUUUUUUAAUUCGGAUACUUUUAUAAUAGCUUUAAUAGUAUUAUUAACAUAGUGCAUAAAAUGGUGUCCUGUUUUUGACGCAGUUGGAGUAGCAGAAACAGAUGUAGAUAAAAAAAUCUGCAGGAAUAACGUUUCAAUUAUGACAGAAGCUCGAAACAAAUGACUGUGAAUUAGUGUGAAUGAAAAGCCCUAUUAAAAGCUUUCCAGAAGAUCCUGCGAAGAAGACAUGAAGUAUAGAUCAGAUUUGUUAAUAGAGGAGUAUGUUCAAAACACUUUUUAGAAAAAGAUAUUGACAGAACUUCACUUUCAUCUGUUCGUUUGAGAGACUGUGCUGUUCCAAUAGCUUAUGUCACACAGAAUCAGCUGAGAGAAGUGGUCUACAAAAAACCAGAAAGGAAACGGAAUAUGUGGCUACGAAAAGCAAAAGAAAGGUUUACAAAGCAAAUGUGACACAUUUUUUUAUAAUAUUUAGGAAUGUCAGUAAAUUACAUUAAAAAAUGUAUGUAAAGAUUUUUUGCAAUAAAAAUGUUUAUAUUUAUCAAGGAUGUA